GUUAGCUCGGGUGAGCGGCAGACGGGUGAGUACGCGUGGGAACGUACCUUUUGGUUCGGAAUAGCCCUUGGAAACGAGGAGUAAUGCCGAAUAAGCCCUACGGGGGAAAGAUUUAUCGCCGAAAGAUCGGCCCGCGUUAGAUUAGCUUGUUGGUGAGGUAAUGGCUCACCAAGGCGACGAUCUAUAGCUGGUCUGAGAGGAUGAUCAGCCACACUGGGACUGAGACACGGCCCAGACUCCUACGGGAGGCAGCAGUGGGGAAUCUUGGACAAUGGGCGAAAGCCUGAUCCAGCCAUUCCGCGUGGAUGAUGAAGGCCUUAGGGUUGUAAAAUCCUUUCAGCAGGGAAGAUAAUGACGGUACCUGCAGAAGAAGCCCCGGCUAACUCCGUGCCAGCAGCCGCGGUAAUACGGAGGGGGCUAGCGUUGUUCGGAAUUACUGGGCGUAAAGCGCACGUAGGCGGAUCAGUCAGUCAGAGGUGAAAUCCCGGAGCUCAACUUCGGAACUGCCUUUGAUACUGCUGAUCUGGAGUUCAUGAGAGGUGUGUGGAAUUCCGAGUGUAGAGGUGAAAUUCGUAGAUAUUCGGAGGAACACCAGAGGCGAAGGCGACACACUGGCAUGAUACUGACGCUGAGGUGCGAAAGCGUGGGGA
rnacentral:rRNA from 1 species